CUGGUUACUUGAUUGCAGAUACAUUGAUGUGUGGUUUUAAAUAGUUAAAAAAUAACCCCAAACUCAAUAAAAAAAGGUUCAAUUCUAGACGGUCCAUCUUUCACCCCUCACCUUCUUGGCUUUUCCACCACUUGUUUUCUACAUGAAUUUAUUUUGAAUAUUCAUACGUGCAGAUGCUGUUAUUUUAUUCAUUAGUAUUUAUGUUCCUGGGUUCACAAAGAUUAUUUGAAUUGGAUUCUAAAGAAAUAUAAAACUGAUUCCUGACAGUUGGGGAAAUUUUUCUAUAUAAAUUACUUGGUUUAUUAUUUUGUGUUGAUCUAAACUAUUGAAUCGUCAGUGACAUUAUUCAACUUAUUUUCUUGUAGUGCCUGAAUAACUUUGGGAAUGACAUCAGUAAGUGCCAGUUCUACAUGGACAUGUUGUCCGAGUGCAGGAAAAACUCAGGCUCUCCAUUGAGCGCCUAAAUUCUAUGUACGUGAUUUGCCAUGCAUUGGAAUAACAGCUUUGAACUUUGCUCAUUUUCUUAUUUUGAAGCAUAUGAUGAUGAAGCUGUCCUCCU
rnacentral:misc_RNA from 1 species